GCCAUCGUAGCUCAAUGGUAGAGCAAUUGCCUUGUAAGCAAUAGGUUGGGGGUUCAAAUCCCUCCGAUGGCU
rnacentral:tRNA from 1 species